rnacentral:misc_RNA from 1 species
GAUGAAGAACGUAGCGAAAUGCGAUACGUAGUGUGAAUUGCAGAAUUCAGUGAAUCAUCGAAUCUUUGAACGCACAUUGCACCUCUCGGUAUUCCGGGAGGUAUGCCUGUUCGAGCUUCAUUUGUACCCUCAAGCUCUGCUUGGUGUUGGGUGUUUGUUCCGCCUCUGUGUGUGAACUCGCCUCAAAACAAUUGGCAGCCGGCGUACUUGUUUCGGAGCGCAGCACAUUUUGCGAUCCAGAUCAACGUACAGCGGCAUCCAAGAAGCCUUAUUUAACGCUCUUGACCUCGGAUCAGGUAGGGAUACCCGCUGAACUUAAGCAUAUCAAUAAGCGGAGGA